rnacentral:rRNA from 1 species
GAUGAACGCUGGCGGCGUGCUUAACACAUGCAAGUCGAACGAGAAAUGGAGACGGAUACCUUCGGGCGGAAGGCUUCAUUUCGAGUGGCGGCCGGGUGAGUAACGCGCGGGUAGCCUGCCUCAUACAGGGGGAUAACAGUUGGAAACGACUGUUAAUACUGCAUAAGACGACAGCACCGCAUGGUGCGGGGGUGAAAACUCCGGUGGUAUGAUCUGGACCCGCGUUCGAUUAGCCAGUUGGCAGGGUAACGGCCCACCAAAGUGACGAUCGAUAGCCGAGAUGAGAGACUGGCCGGCGACACUGGGGCGGGGACACGGCACGAAAUCCUACGGGAGGCAGCAGUGGGGAAUGGUGCACAGUGGCGGGAACGCUGAUGGAGCGAGGCCGCUAGAGUGAAGUAGUUAUUCGGUAUGUAAAGCGCAAGUAGCAGGGAAGAAAAUGACGGUACCUGAGCAGGAAGCCCCGGCUAACUACGUG